GCCCAGGGUGUGCCCAGGUGUGUCUUUAAGAGCACUCAGGUGUGCCCAGCUCUAUGCCAGGUGUGCCCCAGGUGUGCCCAGGUACCCCCAGUGUGACCUCAGGUGACCCCUGGAGCUCCCAGGUGUGACCUUAAGAGCACUCAGGUGCGGCCCGGUGUGUGCCCAGGUACGCCCAGGUCUAUCCCAGGUCUAUCCCAGGUGUGCCCAGGUGUGCCCAGGUGUGCCCAAGUACCCCCAGGUGUCCCCAGGUGCCCCCAGGUGUAUCCCAGGUCUAUCCCAGGUGCCCCCAGGUGUGCCCAGGUGGCCCCAGGUCUACCCCAGGUGUUCGCCCAGGUGCGCCCAGGUGUGCUCAGGUCUAUCCCAGGUCUAUCCCAGGUGUGCCCAGGUGUGCCCAGGACUAUCCCAGGUGUACCCAGGUGUGCCCAGGUGUGCCCAGGUCUAUCCCAGGUGUGCCCAGGUCAAUCCCAGCCAUGCCCAGGUCUAUCCCAGGUCUAUCCCAGGUGUGCCCAGGUGUGCCCAGGUGUGCCCAGGUCAAUCCCAGCCAUGCCCAGGUGUGCCCAGGUGUGCCCAGGUCAAUCCCAGCCAUGCCCAGGUGUAUCCCAGGUGUGCCCAGGUCUAUCCCAGGUGUGCCCAGGUCAAUCCCAGCCAUGCCCAGGUCUAUCCCAGGUCUAUCCCAGGUGUAACCCAGGUGUGCCCAGGUCUAUCCCAGGUGUGCCCAGGUGUGCCCAGGUGUGCCCAGGUCUAUCCCAGGUGUGCCCAGGUGUGCCCAGGUGUAUCCCAGGUGUGCCCAGGUGUGCCC